UGUUGUGCCUCCGUAUGUCUCCCGUGCACGAGCAUGAACCCACGUUGUCAGAAACAAGAAAGCAUGUUGUGACAACCUGGAUUUCGUCACCAGAUUUCACCACCUGGUUACACCCCGGAAGCACCCAUUUUCACACUCUACUCAUCGAUUCGUUCCCAGCUCGCGCCACUAUUCAACUCUCUUCCGUUUAUCUGCCAUUGGGAGUGGGGGAGCAUUGGCCGGAGCAACACGCUCAGUUGUGCGGUGAAAACAUACAGUAGGAAGGUCGUUUAAUCCCGUGCGAAUCGUUUUUUCAUCUGCCGUCACCUGAACUACAUUCUCCCGAGUCGCUCCAGAUCCACUCUGCGCUGUUGUGUGCGGAAGCCGGACAAACAUCCACAACCCAGCAGCAAAAACCCGGACUGGACUCUCAGACUGACUGACUUUCAGGGAGUCUCGGAUCCUCCGGGCCUUCCGGCUCAGCUCUCCCAGCCCUCCCGGAGCCUCCGCGGCCUCCUGUCGGAUCUGCCGGACCGUCCGGGACUUCAGCGCCCGGCCCGCGGCGUCCCUGCCGGCCUGCUGCGCCCUCAGCACGGCCCGGGCUGCGAGCCGAGCCGCGCUGCGGACC